rnacentral:rRNA from 1 species
GACGAACGCUGGCGGCGUGCUUAACACAUGCAAGUCGAGCGAGGCCCCUCCUUCGGGAGGGUGUCCUAGCGGCGAACGGGUGAGUAACACGUGGGCAAUCUGCCCCUAGCUCUGGGAUAACCCCGGGAAACCGGGGCGUAUACCGGAUACGACUUCAGAGGGCAUCCUCCGAAGUGGAAAGGGUUUACUGCUAGGGAUGAGCCCGCGGCCUAUCAGCUUGUUGGUGGGGUAAUAGCCUACCAAGGCGACGACGGGUAGCCGGCCUGAGAGGGCGACCGGCCACACUGGGACUGAGACACGGCCCAGACUCCUAC